GGAGGAUUAGCUCAGCUGGGAGAGCACCUGCCUUACAAGCAGGGGGUNAGAAUAUAAAAAACUUGUUGACUUUCA
rnacentral:tRNA from 1 species